rnacentral:rRNA from 1 species
GUGAACGCUGGCGGUAGGCCUAACACAUGCAAGUCGAACGGCAGCACAGUAAGAGCUUGCUCUUACGGGUGGCGAGUGGCGGACGGGUGAGGAAUACAUCGGAAUCUACUUUUUCGUGGGGGAUAAUGUAGGGAAACUUACGCUAAUACCGCAUACGACCUACGGGUGAAAGCAGGGGAUCUUCGGACCUUGCGCGAUUGAAUGAGCCGAUGUCGGAUUAGCUAGUUGGCGGGGUAAAGGCCCACCAAGGCGACGAUCCGUAGCUGGUCUGAGAGGAUGAUCAGCCACACUGGAACUGAGACACGGUCCAGACUCCUACGGGAGGCAGCAGUGGGGAAUAUUGGACAAUGGGCGCAAGCCUGAUCCAGCCAUACCGCGUGGGUGAAGAAGGCCUUCGGGUUGUAAAGCCCUUUUGUUGGGAAAGAAAAGCAGCAGGUUAAUACCCCGCUGUUCUGACGGUACCCAAAGAAUAAGCACCGGCUAACUUCGUG